GUGGAUCAAAUAUGGAUGAAAAUGUUUAAUGAUGGUUGAAAAGCGGUUGAUAAUGAGUCCAACUUGAAUCAUCUGGUACUAUCUAACCUCCUUUUCUUUUCAUACUGGGUUCUUUCAUAAAAAUUAUAGAAUUGAUCGAAUUGGUUAUUUUUAUAACAAAACGGGUCAAAAGUUUGAAGUCGCCCAAAAUAUAUUGUUAUGUGUUAAACCCGACCUGUCCUGUUUGGACAAACCAAGCUGCCACAUCUUUUAAGUCAUAUAUAAUACGAUUUAUAUGUAUCAUGUUGCAAAUGUUAUCAAAGGCAAACAUUUAUACAACAAUGGAAGUGGUUAGUCCGGAAGUUUCUAUUACACGCACGGAUUUAUUUUUGUUCGAAGGCUUUUCAACUCACGUUAUGCACGAGGCGUCAUCCUUUUUGAGAGACCCACUAUCCAUAAAGUUGCAAGGAUUCUACAGUCAUUACUUGCAGCUGCUCAAAAGACGAGUCUGAAUGGUGAAAAAAGGAUGGAUAUAUAGAGCUUCAUUCACAGCACCAACAUCCAUAGCAAAACAAGGAUGGAACAAUAUCUGUUACGGAAAGGAAACGAAACUUAACUCAUUGAAGUUUCGAGCGAAGAAAACAUUCAUGAAUUUGUAAAUAAUUUGCCUUAUGUGUGUGACAUGAUUGUGACUACCAUGGAAUUGAUCAACCGAAUGGAGUGGGUGGUUACAAAUAACACAGAUUAAUAAGUUACAGUUGGAUU